GGGUGAUUAGCUCAGUUGGUAGAGCCCCGCCCUUACAAGGCGGUUGUCGGGAGUUCAAGUCUCUCAUCACCCACCA
rnacentral:tRNA from 1 species